UUUUAAUCCUCAGGUGCAUUAGUUUCCUAAGACUAUGUAACAAAUUACCACAAACCCGGUGGUUGAAAUCGAGAGAAAUUUAUUCUCUCACAGUUGUAGAGGCCAGAAUUCUGAAAUGAAGGUUUUGGCAGGACGACGCUUCCUCCAAAGGUUCUAGGGGAGAAUCUGUCCUUGCCUGGUUCAGGUUCUGGCAGCUCCAGGCAGGCGUUCCUGGGCUGGUGGUGGCAUCGCUCCAGUCUCGGCCUCCAUCUCACAUGGCUUUCUCCUGUGUGCCUCUUAAAGGACACUUGCCAUUGGAUUGAGGGCCCACCGGGUAAUCCAGCAUGACUUCAUCUUGAGAUUCUUAACUACAUGUGCAAAGACCCUUCUUCCAAAUGAGGUAAUGUUCACAGGUUCUGAGGGUUAGGAUGUGGACAUGUCUUCUUGGGAGCCACCAUUUAACCUACUACACCAGGGAAAGAGGCUUUGUAAUCUUUUCUCCUAUCAUUAUUCUUUUCACAAAAUGAUUAAGGUGAAUACUUCUUUUUGAGCAAUCCUGUAGUCUUGUCUUCAGAAUCUAUGAGCAUUUUUUAUACAAAAUUGACUUAAUGGAGGAUACAUCAUCUCCAUUUCAUUUAUUAGCUGUAAUACCUGGCAUUGAGCAGGAGACUCAUUUAACGUUGAUAAACUUUAGUAGAAAUGAUAAAAUCAUUAUUGAUCUGUAAUUUAAAAAUUAUUAUAACUUUUGGGGCGCCUGGGUGGCUCAGUCAGUUAAGCGUCUGACUCUUGGUUUCGACUCAGGUCAUGAUCUCAUGGUUUCAGGAGUUCGAGCCUCAUGUCGGGCUCUGUGCUGGCGUGAGGAGCUUGCUUGGAAUUCUCUCUCUCCACCCCUCCCCCACUCACAUUGUCUCUGUCUCUCUCAAAUAAGUAAACUUAAAAAAAUUAUUAUAAUGGUUAAAAGAACUUUAAUUUUUUUUUUGAAACUUACAGCAAAGCUUCUUUGAUUAUCAUCAGUCAUUCCGUUCUCUGGUACACAUGUGAAGAAAUUUGCUACUCUUUACCUUGAUCACACUACCUAGAGCUGCCCAUGUAAAAAACAACAUGAUCAUAAAUUACAUGCCUUCAUUUUUGACAUCUGACCUUGUAAUGAUAAAAUCAGGAAACCACAGACAUUUGAAAGUGAAAGAUCAACUCCAGGAGGUCCAUGGUUUCAGACAAUAAAUACUGACCCACUUUGCCUAAAUCCAUUGCAAUAUAGUGUUUUAGGUCUAGAUAUUACUUUUUCAAGUGGCAGGAUUCUGGUUAUUUAAUUGAAAGUAGAGAUUUCAAUAGCUCUGGGUACCUCUUGGUACCUGAAUGAAACAUAUGUCUCCUAUGGGAACAGCUUAGCACCUUUGGGCUUGACAACAGGGACAGAUCUAAGAUUCUGAAAUAAUAUUAGAUCCCUUAGUUGAUUUGUAGCAUACGUUUGAAAUCACUGUUUAUUUUCUCAAUUCGUGGGGUCUUAACGCACAUGGCCUUUUCUCUGUAUCUGUAGCCAGUCUCUCCGCAGGUCUUCAGCUUCAGGUGCUUGUGUAAGAGUGCGGGCUGCUGCCUCAGUUGUCUCUCGUGGAAGGCCUCAAGUAUAUGUGCUGCUGAAGUGAGCAUCCUGCUGCCUUAGGAAGGCUCCAAAUCUCUCCUGGCUAAGCAAGGGUAAGAGAAAUCUGGGAUUGCAUGAUAAUAGAUGAGCCAGAGGUAAGCAAGGUUCAUUAAGAACUUUGAACAAGACCCUUAAAAUGUACUCUGUCUCAGAAUUCUAAAGCUCCAUCUAAACUCUAACUGAAGGGUUAAGUUCUAAAAUGAUAGUUAGGCAUUUUGCAAAUUUCCCAUCCUUAUAGUCCCAGCAUGGGGUGGCAAGGUUAGUGGUGAGCCCUAAACUCAUCUGAAAAUCUUUUAGAAAAUACUGGUACCUGGGACUCAUCCAAGACCAAUUAAAUCAGAAAUACUAUGAGUUGGGGUAUUGAUACCUCUGUAAAAGUUCCCAAUGAAUUUAAAAAGGAGCUAGGGUUGAGAACCACUGCAUUAUUGGAGCUGGUGUAUCAACAUGAAUUUCCAGAGGUUUACUCAAUAUUAACAUGGUGUUAGGACUACAGAGGAAGGGGUGAUGUGGACCCCCAGUGAGAGGAACUGACAAUAGCUGUUUGUCGGAAGAGUGCUCAGUCUGGGGAUGGAGGAAAACCAGGAAAGGACAGUGUCUAGGAAGGUAAAGGAAGAUGGCACUUCAAGGAGUUUUGUCUGGUCAACAGGGUCCAGUGCUGCAGAGCAGUCCCAUAAUGCAAUGACUUCAAGUGUCUUUCAUAUUGAGUGACAGGAAGAUUGUUGAUCACUUUGGUGAGAUCAGCUGCAGUGACAGUUCAGUUGGCUGAGUAGAUAAAGAAAUGAAGACAAAUGAGAACUGAAAUCUUAAGAAUUCUGGCUGUGAAGUGACAGUCUUAAAAGAGAUAUACGGUGUAGGAGUUUUUUUUUUCCAGUAUUUUUUUUUUAAAUUUUAUUAAUUUAUUUUAAGAGAGAGACAGAGGGAGAAGGAGGGGCAGAGAGAGAGGAGAGAGAAAAUCUCAAGUGAGCUCUAUGCUGACAGUGGGGCUCGAUCUCACUUGAGAUCAUGACUUCAGCCAGAUCAAAUCAAGAGUCGGACACUUAACCAACUGAGCCACCCAGGAGCCCUCCUUCCAGUUUUAUUGUGAUAUAAUUGACAUAUAACAUCAUAUUGGUUUAGGAUGUACAACACAAUGAUUUGAUAUAUGUAUGUAUUGUAAAUUAUUACUACAAUAAGUUUAACAUCCAACACCUUGCACUUUUUUUUCUUGUGAAGGGAACUUUCAAGAUCUAGUUUCUUAGCAACUUUCAAAUAUAAAAUAGAGUAUUGUUAGCUAUAGUCACCAUACUGUACAUUAUCCCCAGAACUUAUUUAUAACUAGAAGUUUGUACUUUUUUGAACCUUUUCACCCAUUUCCUCUACCUCCAUGUCUUACCCUUGGGAACCACCAACCUGUUCUCUAUUUCUGUGAGUUUUUUUUUUUUUGAUUCCACAUAUAUGUGAGAUCAUAAAGCAUUUGUUUUCUCUGUGUGACUUAUUUAAUUUAACAUAAUGCCCUCAGUUUUCAUCCAUAUUGUAGCAAAUGGCAGGAUUUUCUUCUUCUACUUUUUUUUUGGGAUUUGCUUCUUUUUUAUGGCUAAAUAAUAUUCCUCUGUGUGUGUGUGUGUGUGUGUGUUGCAUUUUGAGUUUUUUAAAAUUAGAGAAUGAGUGAGAUUUGAGUGCACGUACUUGCUAAAGGAAGGGGAGUGGAUGAAGAUAUAGGGGAGAGAGGGAAUAAUGGAUGAAACAUGGUUCCUUCAAAAUGCAGAAGCAUCAGAAUCUAGAGUGUUGUUUGAAGUGUUUAGAGAAGAGAGAAGAGACUCUGCUGUCACUAAAAUGGAGAGGAGGACUGAAUGGCUGGAGUGGAUGCAGAUAAAUGUUUAGGCACAGGUGUGCAUGGGAAUGUGGGGUAUUUCCUUGAUGGUCUCUAAUUCACUGUGACAUGGAAGAAAGGUUGGUGGCAGGGUUUCUUAGUAAUCUGUUCCCCUCUGAGGCCUCUGAAACUGUUGAGAUAGGGUGACAGCUGGAUUUGAGCACAUCCUCAUUUCUCACUCCCGUCACUCCCAACACAUGAAAUAGUGUGUGUGUGUG